rnacentral:misc_RNA from 1 species
GGACGAAAGGGUAGAGGUUGUCGAGCUGCGGGUCCUGUGCCUCGGUGAGGAAGGGAAACUGGCGGAGGUUGGAGCGGCGAGGAGGGUAGAAUUCGACGGAGGGGGAGGAGCGGCCGCCGAUGAUGAUGAUGGUCCCGUCGGGGAGGAUUUGGUUGGUGGCGUACCAGCGGCCGGUGACAAGGAGGGGGGAGGAGAGCUCGUGCC